rnacentral:rRNA from 1 species
UACGAAGGGGGCUAGCGUUGUUCGGAAUUACUGGGCGUAAAGCGCGCGCAGGCGGUCUUCCAAGUCAGGGGUGAAAGCCCGGAGCUCAACUCCGGAACUGCCAUUGAAACUGUGAGACUUGAGGAUGAGAGAGGUGAGUGGAAUUCCCAGUGUAGAGGUGAAAUUCGUAGAUAUUGGGAAGAACACCGGUGGCGAAGGCGGCUCACUGGCUCAUUUCUGACGCUCAGGCGCGACAGCGUGGGGAUCAAACAGG